CCCUAGGCCAUGAGUCAACAUUAGUAGUUUAUACAUCCAAAUUGAUGACAAGAGCACCUCAAAGGCAGCAGCCUCAAGGAGCAGCCAUGGCCCCAGACUUGUCGCACGGAUGCAGAAAACUUAAUGGAGGAGGCUGAGGAACUCUUCCAGACUCUGGGAAAUAUGUCUCCAAGAAAGCAGACAAUACCCCUGCCCUCUGUGGAAGACUGACAAAUAUACAAGUGCAUAUGUAUAUAUAGACUGUCAGAUGAUGUAAGUAUGAUGAAGAAAAUGAAAGCCAUGUAAUGGGUGAUGGAGCGGGGCAUAGAAAGGUGCCAUUUGCUAUUUUAUAGAAGUAGAUCAGGGAAGACCAUGUCAUGGUAGAUAUCUGAGCAGAGACCAUUCCAGGUGUGGGAGCAUGUCAGAGAGGUAUCCAGGGGCAACAGUUCCAGGCAGAGAAAGCAUGAAGAGCAAGGUGCCCAAGGCCAGAGCAUGUGUGCUUGGCAUUUUCCAGGAGCAGCAAGGAAUUUAGUGUGGCUGAAGGAGAAUGAGCAAGGGAGAAAGCAGCAGGAGAGUGCACAUGAAGCCCUGUG
rnacentral:lncRNA from 10 species